UACGAAGGGGGCUAGCGUUGCUCGGAAUCACUGGGCGUAAAGCGCACGUAGGCGGCUUUUUAAGUCAGGGGUGAAAUCCUGGAGCUCAACUCCAGAACUGCCUUUGAUACUGGGAAGCUUGAGUCCGGAAGAGGUGAGUGGAACUCCGAGUGUAGAGGUGAAAUUCGUAGAUAUGGGGAGGAACACCGGUGGCGAAGGCGGCCAUCUGGACGGCUAUUGACGCUGAGACGCGAAAGCAUGGGGAGCAAACAGG
rnacentral:rRNA from 1 species